UGGGUUGUGGCUCAGUGGUAGAGCACUUGCCUAGCACGUGCAAGGCCCUGGGUUCCAUCCUCAGCACCACAU
rnacentral:tRNA from 1 species